AACUUUACUCCAAAAAGUCAAUCAGGUAAGCUGUUUGACACUACACCUUACAUUGCUACAUUCAGGUAUUCUUACAGACGGUGAAAAAUUACAUUAUUUGUUUUUAUUCCACAUAAGCAAACAAACAGAACUUAAUUAUUUAUUCCCCUUUUACCUGUGCCCACUACUGCCCCCAGGUGUCCACAACUAAAAACUGUUGGAAAUAAACCAAAAUAAUAAAGACCUGCUAUUAUGUAAAGCAAUUAACUAAA